rnacentral:rRNA from 1 species
GGGUUGUGAGGUUAAGCGACUAAGCGUACACGGUGGAUGCCCUGGCAGUCAGAGGCGAUGAAGGACGUGCUAAUCUGCGAUAAGCGUCGGUAAGGUGAUAUGAACCGUUAUAACCGGCGAUUUCCGAAUGGGGAAACCCAGUGUGAUUCGUCACACUAUCAUUAACUGAAUCCAUAGGUUAAUGAGGCGAACCGGGGUAACUGAAACAUCUAAGUACCCCGAGGAAAAGAAAUCAACCGAGAUUCCCCCAGUAGCGGCGAGCGAACGGGGAGCAGCCCAGAGCCUGAAUCAGUGUGUGUGUUAGUGGAAGCGUCUGGAAAGGCGCGCGAUACAGGGUGACAGCCCCGUACACAAAAAUGCACAUGCUGUGAGCUCGAUGAGUAGGGCGGGACACGUGGUAUCCUGUCUGAAUAUGGGGGGACCAUCCUCCAAGGCUAAAUACUCCUGACUGACCGAUAGUGAACCAGUACCGUGAGGGAAAGGCGAAAAGAACCCCGGCGAGGGGAGUGAAAAAGAACCUGAAACCGUGUACGUACAAGCAGUGGGAGCACAGAGCAAUCUGUGUGACUGCGUACCUUUUGUAUAAUGGGUCAGCGACUUAUAUUCUGUAGCAAGGUUAACCGAAUAGGGGAGCCGAAGGGAAACCGAGUCUUAACUGGGCGUUAAGUUGCAGGGUAUAGACCCGAAACCCGGUGAUCUAGCCAUGGGCAGGUUGAAGGUUGGGUAACACUAACUGGAGGACCGAACCGACUAAUGUUGAAAAAUUAGCGGAUGACUUGUGGCUGGGGGUGAAAGGCCAAUCAAACCGGGAGAUAGCUGGUUCUCCCCGAAAGCUAUUUAGGUAGCGCCUCGUGAAUUCAUCUCCGGGGGUAGAGCACUGUUUCGGCAAGGGGGUCAUCCCGACUUACCAACCCGAUGCAAACUGCGAAUACCGGAGAAUGUUAUCACGGGAGACACACGGCGGGUGCUAACGUCCGUCGUGAAGAGGGAAACAACCCAGACCGCCAGCUAAGGUCCCAAAGUCAUGGUUAAGUGGGAAACGAUGUGGGAAGGCCCAGACAGCCAGGAUGUUGGCUUAGAAGCAGCCAUCAUUUAAAGAAAGCGUAAUAGCUCACUGGUCGAGUCGGCCUGCGCGGAAGAUGUAACGGGGCUAAACCAUGCACCGAAGCUGCGGCAGCGACACUAUGUGUUGUUGGGUAGGGGAGCGUUCUGUAAGCCUGUGAAGGUGUACUGUGAGGUAUGCUGGAGGUAUCAGAAGUGCGAAUGCUGACAUAAGUAACGAUAAAGCGGGUGAAAAGCCCGCUCGCCGGAAGACCAAGGGUUCCUGUCCAACGUUAAUCGGGGCAGGGUGAGUCGACCCCUAAGGCGAGGCCGAAAGGCGUAGUCGAUGGGAAACAGGUUAAUAUUCCUGUACUUGGUGUUACUGCGAAGGGGGGACGGAGAAGGCUAUGUUGGCCGGGCGACGGUUGUCCCGGUUUAAGCGUGUAGGCUGGUUUUCCAGGCAAAUCCGGAAAAUCAAGGCUGAGGCGUGAUGACGAGGCACUACGGUGCUGAAGCAACAAAUGCCCUGCUUCCAGGAAAAGCCUCUAAGCAUCAGGUAACAUCAAAUCGUACCCCAAACCGACACAGGUGGUCAGGUAGAGAAUACCAAGGCGCUUGAGAGAACUCGGGUGAAGGAACUAGGCAAAAUGGUGCCGUAACUUCGGGAGAAGGCACGCUGAUAUGUAGGUGAAGUCCCUCGCGGAUGGAGCUGAAAUCAGUCGAAGAUACCAGCUGGCUGCAACUGUUUAUUAAAAACACAGCACUGUGCAAACACGAAAGUGUACGUAUACGGUGUGACGCCUGCCCGGUGCCGGAAGGUUAAUUGAUGGGGUCAGCGCAAGCGAAGCUCUUGAUCGAAGCCCCGGUAAACGGCGGCCGUAACUAUAACGGUCCUAAGGUAGCGAAAUUCCUUGUCGGGUAAGUUCCGACCUGCACGAAUGGCGUAAUGAUGGCCAGGCUGUCUCCACCCGAGACUCAGUGAAAUUGAACUCGCUGUGAAGAUGCAGUGUACCCGCGGCAAGACGGAAAGACCCCGUGAACCUUUACUAUAGCUUGACACUGAACAUUGAGCCUUGAUGUGUAGGAUAGGUGGGAGGCUUUGAAGUGUGGACGCCAGUCUGCAUGGAGCCGACCUUGAAAUACCACCCUUUAAUGUUUGAUGUUCUAACGUUGACCCGUGAUCCGGGUUGCGGACAGUGUCUGGUGGGUAGUUUGACUGGGGCGGUCUCCUCCUAAAGAGUAACGGAGGAGCACGAAGGUUGGCUAAUCCUGGUCGGACAUCAGGAGGUUAGUGCAAUGGCAUAAGCCAGCUUGACUGCGAGCGUGACGGCGCGAGCAGGUGCGAAAGCAGGUCAUAGUGAUCCGGUGGUUCUGAAUGGAAGGGCCAUCGCUCAACGGAUAAAAGGUACUCCGGGGAUAACAGGCUGAUACCGCCCAAGAGUUCAUAUCGACGGCGGUGUUUGGCACCUCGAUGUCGGCUCAUCACAUCCUGGGGCUGAAGUAGGUCCCAAGGGUAUGGCUGUUCGCCAUUUAAAGUGGUACGCGAGCUGGGUUUAGAACGUCGUGAGACAGUUCGGUCCCUAUCUGCCGUGGGCGCUGGAGAAUUGAGGGGGGCUGCUCCUAGUACGAGAGGACCGGAGUGGACGCAUCACUGGUGUUCGGGUUGUCAUGCCAAUGGCACUGCCCGGUAGCUAAAUGCGGAAGAGAUAAGUGCUGAAAGCAUCUAAGCACGAAACUUGCCCCGAGAUGAGUUCUCCCUGACUCCUUGAGAGUCCUGAAGGAACGUUGAAGACGACGACGUUGAUAGGCCGGGUGUGUAAGCGCAGCGAUGCGUUGAGCUAACCGGUACUAAUGAACCGUGAGGCUUAACCUUACAACGCCGAAG